AGCAUUGAACAUUUUGCCUCCUCUGGGACUGAGAGGACUCACUUACCAAGGUGUGUCGGGGAAGAUGUGUCUGGCAGACCCCCAUCCCCCAUAAGAACCAAGAGAGGACCUCUGAUGCCAUGUCUUCCCUACCCCCUGACUCCUGAAGGGGAGGCAGUGCCCAGCUGUGAUCAUGUUAGAAGAGAAAGAUAUAAUAAAGACCUUACUUUUCUCUGGCCUUCCCACUGUGUCCUAGAACUCAAGCUAAUGGGAGUGUUUCUCCAAUCAGUUCUGAGCUCUCUCUGGAUAAAUAGGAUGACAAGGUCAUUUCUUCCUUUCUUCCUUCCUUCCUUCCUUCCUUCCUUCCUUCCUUCCUUUUUUCCUUCCUUUCUUCAUUUCUUCCUAACCAUUUGAGGUUUACUUUAUAUUGAUUUAUAAAUAUCAACCUCUUUGUGUAUUUUCUUCAUAACAUAAAAAAUGUAUUUUGACCAA